rnacentral:tRNA from 7 species
GCGGGCGUAGUUCAGUGGCAGAACGGCACCCUUCCCGGGUGCAGACGUGAGUUCGAUCCUUGCCGCCCGCUCCA